rnacentral:lncRNA from 1 species
CUGACACUCAUUCCACACUUUACCUCUACCUAAAUCCUGUCGACCGGCCAACUUGCUUAUUUCUCUCUGCCAUAACAGCAAAGUCCUGGUCCAUACUAAUAACACUUCGCACAUAACUCAUUUACUGGGACUAACAACAACAACACAAAAAUGUAGAACAGCCGUCGUCCUUUUUUCUUUUGUUGUGCCGCCAUGUCUUUUUUCUUAUUUUUACUAAAAAUGACGCAUUUUAUGUUUUAAAACUUUACUUUUUUUGCGAAAAAUAAUCAUUUUUUAAAAAUUGUUCAAAUGCCAUUUCUGUGUGUGAUUUUGCUUAUUUUCUCUGCUCAAAAAUUAAGAAGUGUGAGUAUUGAGGUGUUUUUUUCCCCGACUGCAUUUUUAAGCUUAUAAUAUUG